ACGAGCGCUGGCGGCGUGCUUAACACAUGCAAGUCGAACGGAAAGGCCCUGCUUUUGUGGGGUGCUCGAGUGGCGAACGGGUGAGUAACACGUGAGUAACCUGCCCUUGACUUUGGGAUAACUUCAGGAAACUGGGGCUAAUACCGGAUAGGAGCUCCUGCUGCAUGGUGGGGGGUGGAAAGUUUCGGCGGUUGGGGAUGGACUCGCGGCUUAUCAGCUUGUUGGUGGGGUAGUGGCUUACCAAGGCUUUGACGGGUAGCCGGCCUGAGAGGGUGACCGGCCACAUUGGGACUGAGAUACGGCCCAGACUCCUACGGGAGGCAGCAGUGGGGAAUAUUGCACAAUGGGCGGAAGCCUGAUGCAGCAACGCCGCGUGCGGGAUGACGGCCUUCGGGUUGUAAACCGCUUUCGCCUGUGACGAAGCGUGAGUGACGGUAAUGGGUAAAGAAGCACCGGCUAACUACGUG
rnacentral:rRNA from 1 species